ensembl:lncRNA
CCCACAGCCGCGGUGCCAGGGCGUUUAGGGAGGAAGUGACGUAGCACCUGCGAUGUCUUCUGAGCCCCCAAAAACCGUUCAGUCAACCUGUGAACAGCGGAGCCGAAUAGCCCUUUCGGAAGGACUGGUGAGAUGAGGAAGGCCAUAUUCACAGCAUCCCUGAUCUCUGUCAGCAUUAGCCAGAGGCUGGCCAUGGUCUUGCCGAUCGCUUGCGCUUUGUAGCACGCAAAGCGAGAUCUGUUGUUGUGCGCAGCUCCUUAAAGGCCUCCUGGUUCACUUGGCCAGACUUGUGCAUACUAUGGAGGAGUUUGGCUUGAAACACCUGAAGGAUAGCCAUUGUGUGCAGCGCCGAACCAGCCUGUCGGCCUGCUGCAUAAGCCCUGUUGGCAAUAGCCUAGGUGGUCCUGCAGGGCUUAGAUGGAUGCGCUGCAUGGCCCUUUAAGCCGAGGGCAGAAGGUGGGCACAGAUGUGCAGCGAUCGCUUCCUACAGGGGGGUAAGUUUGGUGUAAGCCCCUUCAGUCAGUGAUGUUAACGGUGGUGAGAGCUGCUGCAGUAGAGAUCCUCCACAGCCUUUGCAAGGACGCGGAUUAGCUCAGCAUCUGGCUUUGGCCUCGGCACUUGAGGGGGAGGAGCUGCUUCGGGCUCCUCACCGGAAUCACCCCAUUCCUCCGUUUCUGACGGCGCCAAGGACACAGAGUCGUCGGCAGUGAUGUCAUCGAUGACGAUGUCCUCCUCGGACGUUCUGAAUGAGACCAGCUCACAGCUGAAGAAGGGCGCUGGUCCUCAUGUGCAAAGCACACUGGCGUGAAAGGACGCGGGGAGGGCGUCCCCUCACGCCAAUUUGCUCUUUAGGAUGCAGGAUGACUGCAGUGAUGCUUUCGUCGCUGCUUUCGACUUUUUCCACUGCAGUGAGCAGAGCUGGAGCUUCUUCUAAGGCUUCUUCUUGCAGAAGAGUCAGUGAAGAGAUGAUCCUCGUCGCUGAAAGAGAAUAAUCUAAUGAAUGGCGCUACGGACCGACUUAUAUAGCGGUCGGCCCCGCCCCC